AUUGAACGCUGGCGGCAUGCCUUACACAUGCAAGUCGAACGGUAACAGCACUUCGGUGGCUGACGAGUGGCGAACGGGUGAGUAAUACAUCGGAACGUGCCCGAGAGUGGGGAUAACGCAGCGAAAGCUGUGCUAAUACCGCAUACGAUCUACGGAUGAAAGCAGGGGACCGCAAGGCCUUGCGCUCAUGGAGCGGCCGAUGGCAGAUUAGGUAGUUGGUGGGAUAAAAGCUUACCAAGCCGACGAUCUGUAGCUGGUCUGAGAGGACGACCAGCCACACUGGGACUGAGACACGGCCCAGACUCCUACGGGAGGCAGCAGUGGGGAAUUUUGGACAAUGGGCGAAAGCCUGAUCCAGCCAUGCCGCGUGCAGGAUGAAGGCCUUCGGGUUGUAAACUGCUUUUGUACGGAACGAAAAGGUCUUUUCUAAUAAAGAAGGCUCAUGACGGUACCGUAAGAAUAAGCACCGGCUAACUACGUG
rnacentral:rRNA from 1 species